AGUGAACGCUGGCGGCAUGCCUAACACAUGCAAGUCGAACGGCAGCACAGUAAGAGCUUGCCCUUACAGGUGGCGAGUGGCGGACGGGUGAGGAAUACAUCGGAAUCUACUUUUUCGUGGGGGACAACGUAGGGAAACUUACGCUAAUACCGCAUACGACCUACGGGUGAAAGCAGGGGAUCUUCGGACCUUGCGCGAUUGAAUGAGCCGAUGUCGGAUUAGCUAGUUGGCGGGGUAAAGGCCCACCAAGGCGACGAUCCGUAGCUGGUCUGAGAGGAUGAUCAGCCACACUGGAACUGAGACACGGUCCAGACUCCUACGGGAGGCAGCAGUGGGGAAUAUUGGGCAAUGGGCGCAAGCCUGAUGCAGCAAUGCCGCGUGGGUGAAGAAGGCCUUCGGGUUGUAAAGCCCUUUUGUUGGGAAAGAACAGCAGCAGAUUAAUACGCCGCUGUUCUGACGGUACCUAAAGAAUAAGCACCGGCUAACUUCGUG
rnacentral:rRNA from 1 species